GACGAACGCUGGCGGCGUGCUUAACACAUGCAAGUCGAACGGAAAGGCCCUGCUUUUGUGGGGUGCUCGAGUGGCGAACGGGUGAGUAACACGUGAGUAACCUGCCCUUGACUUUGGGAUAACUUCAGGAAACUGGGGCUAAUACCGGAUAGGAGCUCCUGCUGCAUGGUGGGGGUUAGAAAGUUUCGGCGGUUGGGGAUGGACUCGCGGCUUAUCAGCUUGUUGGUGGGGUAGUGGCUUACCAAGGCUUUGACGGGUAGCCGGCCUGGGAGGGUGACCGGCCACAUUGGGACUGAGAUACGGCCCAGACUCCUACGGGAGGCAGCAGUGGGGAAUAUUGCACAAUGGGCGGAAGCCUGAGGCAGCAACGCCGCGUGCGGGAUGACGGCCUUCGGGUUGUAAACCGCUUUCGCCUGUGACGAAGCGUGAGUGACGGUAAUGGGUAAAGAAGCACCGGCUAACUACGUG
rnacentral:rRNA from 1 species